CCUGCUGCUGCUGCUGUUGCUGCUGCUGCUGCUGCUGCUGCUGCUGCUGCUGCUGCAGAGAGGAGAACGAGCUGAUCGUACAGC
rnacentral:snoRNA from 1 species